UGAGUGAGACGAGACGCGCCCCUCCCACGCGGGGAAGGGCGCCCGCCUGGUCCGGCGAGCGCACGUCCGGUGCUCCCCUCUGGCGGGGUCUCACUCUGUCACCCAGGGUGGAGUGCAGUGGUGCAAUUAUGGCUCACUGUAGUCUUGAUCUCCUGGGCUCAAGCAGUCCUCCCAACUCAGCUCCCAAGUAGCUAGAACUACAGAAAUACUAGGCUUUAGAAUUUCACCAUAUGAAUUUUGGGAGAGAGGAGCACAGUUCAGCCCAUAACUAACACACGACGGAAUGAAGUUGAUAAUAGUGAGACCUUGUUGGUACAAGACUAUGUAACAUAACCUGCGCUUCUCAACAAAGAAUUGCUUUUCUGACUUCUGCACUCAAUAGCAAGACAAAUCUCUCCUCUGCCUUCUCCUUAUCAGACUACUCAACAUGAAGGCAAUAAGAAUGAAGACCUCUAUGUAUAAUAAUUGACUUCCACUUAAUAAAUAAGGUUACUUGGUACACUGGUCGACAAAACCUUGAAAUGUUGAUGUUUAAGGGCUGUUGAUUGCUGGCAGCAAAGAAGUCCAACUGUGCUGGUACCCGAGAUAGCGUCUCCACAUUUUCUUCCAGGAUCAUCACCUUUGUUCUAAAUAGCUCCCACAUAGUGUGAACAGAAGUCAUAUGUUUUAGAUUUUCUGCCUUGGCACCCAGGAAACCAGUAUGAUUGAGUAAACAUAUUAAACUUCCUCUGCAUUUCCAGCCUGAACAGAUGUUGAGUACAAGCUGAUCCACCUACGUUCAACCUGAGAGAGUCCACAUCCACAGACUGUUUCAUUUCCCUUUUUCAAUUUACAUAGAAGCAUAGAUUCUUGCUGGCAUAUACAAAUGCGCCAUUUAAGGCAAUCAAAAAUGGUUCCACAUCUCAUCUGAUUUCCACAAUUGUUGCUGUAACGAUGGACUACUGAGGAGAGAGACAAUUUCUCUGGCACAUCUUCCCACAUUUUAGCAACAUGUUCAUGGAGAGCCAAUAUUCAGUAAUUACAGCCCAAUUCCUCACAAUUUCACAAUUCGCUAACAAUAUGCAUUUUCACAAUGUAAAGCUGAUUUUCCUUUAACCAAAUCAAACAUGAAAAGAUAGCUGCAUGCAAUGGGCAAUCUAGAUCAUUAGAAGAUUGAUGUAAAAUUAGAGGACACUGAGACUGGAAUAGAUUGCAAACUUCAGGGAGCUCAGAAAACUUGUAAACUCUACAUUUUGAGGAAAUAUGUUGUCGAUGCUUUUGCAACUCUAUGCAGUAACUUAACAAAUAAAGCCUUAAAGUAACU
rnacentral:lncRNA from 1 species